GAGCAUAAUUCAAAACCAAAAUUUAUGAAGAAAGCAGCAGAAGAAGAUGAUGAUGAAGAUGAUCUAGAUGAUCUAUCAGAAUCAGGGAAAGAAAAAAGAAAACAAUUUGAACAGAAGAGGAAAUUACACUACAAUGAAUUUUAUGCUGUUAAACUAGCGAAGCAGUUAAUGGAGGAGGAGGAUGAGGAGGAAGAGGACGAAGAAGAAGAAGAGAAGAAAAAUGGACAAUGACAAUCUCUGAAGGAGUAGACUGACAGUGACAGUUAUCUUCUGUAUUACUUUUAACAGUUGGCAGACCCCAGUUCAUACUGCUGUUCAUGAAUUCCGGCCAGAACAUCAGGAAGAAAGAGCCAUUGAGUUCUUACCAUCAAAACAACACAAAAAAGUUUAAAAUGCCCUGGGCUUUAAAAGGAAAUUGCAUUCUUCUAAGAUAAAAUGGCCAUUCCCAAAGUAGGAAGGACUUAAAGAAGGGCAGUGAAUGGUGCUGGAUCUUCCACAAUAGUGCAGUUGAUAAGAGUUAUUUUAAUGGCAAAGUCAGCUGUAGAGCAUUGAUAGUCUGAUGGAAAGUGAUUGUUCAGUGUUGCUUAAUUUAUCUUGCAAAUGUUGUAUUUCGAUCAAUUUUUUUCUUCUCUUUUAGAUUCCCAUUUGUGUAAGCAGGGUGUUGUGACUGUAGAUCCAGGUUAGACCCUUUCCUCUUCUACAUUUUCAUGUGUACUCAGCAUGCUUCUAAUAAAUGCUUACUGAGAUCCUAUUAUUAUUGAAAAAGCAGCUAGUCUGGAGUUCAGUCAGCUGUUGAUGUUGAAUGGAAAAGCAAAGGCCAAUUUUCCUUUGAGAUCCAUCAUUUUUUUUUUCCUCAAUAUCAUCAAGCAUUGUAAGUGAUAGAGAAGAGGGUUCAAGCAAAUUGACAGCUCCACAGUAAGCUUAAUGUAUUGGUUUGAUUUAGAUCUGGAGGAAACACCCAUAAAGAAAGAGGGUAGAAACAAAAGAUAUUGGAAAUCGUGGUUGCAACCAAACUUUUAGAGUAAGCAGUCAUGGAGAUAGUGAAUGUUGGUUGAAUCUGAAGACUAUUUCAAUGUAUAUGAUGCAUGCUGUUGCCAUUGUUUUGUGUGUGGGCUCUUAAAGAGGGUGACUUAAAUGUUUCAGAUGUCAUGUUCUGUUAGCAGAACUUCUGCUGCUCUUUACACCUGCUGUUACCUGUAGAACUGUCAUACUGGUACAUCUGUAUGCAUGCCCUUGGUCACUGGGUUUACAACUGAAGUGUGCAGUUCAUAGUGAUUUUCCUAUAGAUUGUUACCACAGUAAUGGCAUAAUAGCAGUCAUAAAUGCAUCUCUAUGUAUGCACCUUGCAUGAUGAAGGCAUACAUAUAAAUGCAUCUCCUUUGUAGCUUCUGGUACUGACAAAAUGAUAUAUCUGUACAAAUAUGGGAGCUUACAUGUUGAUUAUCAGGUUAUCUUAGAUGACUGAAAGAAACUUUCAGCUGUGUUGGACAAACAGUGGAGUUAAGCUAGACUAUUCUAUAGGACGUCACAUUAAUAUACCAGCAGAAAUAUAUUAAAAGCUUGGAGUCUGUCUAUGUUAUUGAUCAGCUUUGUCCUUUGCUGCUGGUUAUUUCAUUGGCCUGCUAUGGUUUUUGCAUAUUGACUCAUGCAAGAUAUUAUGUAUUAUGAUUGCCUAUGUGUUGUUAACGCUAAGAGAGAAACUAGUUCACUAUUUGCCAAAAGGAAUUUGCUUUUUAAUUUUCUCUUUUUUCUGUGUGUUAUGGAAGACUGGCAUUUCUUCACUUGGCAACCAUUCCCUGCAUAUCCUUUCUCAGUUUUAGCCAUUUAAGUAUUAUACUUGGCAAAGCGCUUGCCUUGUGUUUGCUGUAAAAUGUCUUAUUUAUUUGAGUACACUGUGCUGAAUGUCACCUGUGCAGUCAAUAAGACUGUAACCUGUUGAUAAAAAGACCCCUAUCUGAUUACUGCAGUCAGGUGUUUCCUGUGGGGUAAAAACCGUGGUUGUUUGUUUGGUCUUUGGGUCUAUUAUCCAAGACAUGUAUGAGAGAAGUUUUCAUCAGUGUGAUUUUUUUUCCCUGUUGGAAGAAAGCAAGUAUUCUUAUGCAAUCCGUUUCAUUUAAAAAAAAAAACAAAGGGGAAUGUGCUGCCAUAUUUUUUCCCCUGCAUUUGUCAAAAAAAGAUAACUUUGGAAAAGUUUGCUUAUAAGAAGAGAAAAAAUGAACUAUUGAUUUGAAUCUGUGAAUGUUCAAAAAGCAUGUCUUCUAAAAGAAGAAUGUUCUGGUGCAAUAAUUUUUGUGGGGUUUGAAUUCCAUCGUAAUACCAGUAAAUUUACUGAAUUGUUGACAAGUACCGAAACUGUUAAGGACAUUAAUUAGUUCAGUAUUGCUAUAGCAUUCAUAAAUUAUAUCUGCAGUGCAGAUUUGUUGCAGUAGUAUAGAUUUGCCCCUUUGCCAAACAAUUGGAUGUGUGUCACUGAAGCCAAAACAAGUUGUUUUUAUCAUUACAGUAUAUGGGUUGUUUACAUUAAGGACAAAACUUAAUUGUGUAUAAAUAACGUUGCUUAGAUACCAAAUGUAUAUGGAGCACUAACUUUACUUACUACAAUAUUGAUUUUUUUACCCUUCAUUAUGGUUAGGAAAAUGUAAUCUAUUAAAUAAUCCAUGACUAUCAAGUUGGUUGUAAUGAUGGUCAGAGUUGCUGAGGGGGACUGAAGUUAUGUUAUUACAAUAUUGAGAGUUGAGGUACAGUGUACAUGUAUCAGAAAAGGGAUGUGGUAGAGGAACUUAACACCAUGGUGCAGAUUUAUAGAUUGGAAGUAUUAAGACUAUACUAAUUGGUUUUUGUUCAAUUUUCCUAUCUGACACAAUCAGAAUUCUUUCUUUUUUACCCUUAUGACGUGUCAGAUUGUUAUUUAAGUAAUUUACUUCUGAGCAUGUUCAUUUAUUUCUUUUGUUUAAUCUGUAUAAUGCUGUUACUACAGGCUAUCUAAAACAGUGAAAGAAAAUAAAUAGUAAAUAUGGUUGUGAUAAA
rnacentral:lncRNA from 1 species